GACAUAAGUCCUGUAGGGCCGAGGAAGACUACCUCGUUGAUAGGCUGGAGGUGGAAGUGCCGUGAGGCAUGGAGCUGACCAGUACUAAUAGCCCGUGAGUCUUAUUCUU
rfam:Desulfovibrio sp. An276 An276_contig_41, whole genome shotgun sequence.